rnacentral:rRNA from 1 species
CAUGCAAGUCGAACGAAGCGCUUAAACGGAUUUCUUCGGAUUGAAGUUUUUGCGACUGAGUGGCGGACGGGUGAGUAACGCGUGGGUAACCUGCCUCGUACAGGGGGAUAACAGUUAGAAAUGACUGCUAAUACCGCAUAAGCGCACAGUGCUGCAUGGCACAGUGUGAAAAACUCCGGUGGUAUGAGAUGGACCCGCGUCUGAUUAGCUAGUUGGUGGGGUAACGGCCUACCAAGGCGACGAUCAGUAGCCGGCCUGAGAGGGUGAACGGUCACAUUGGGACUGAGACACGGCCCAAACUCCUACGGGAGGCAGCAGUGGGGAAUAUUGCACAAUGGGGGAAACCCUGAUGCAGCGACGCCGCGUGAGCGAAGAAGUAUUUCGGUAUGUAAAGCUCUAUCAGCAGGGAAGAAAAUGACGGUACCUGACUAAGAAGCACCGGCUAAAUACGUGCCGGCAGCCGCGGUAAUACGUAUGGUGCAAGCGUUAUCCGGAUUUACUGGGUGUAAAGGGAGCGUAGACGGUUGUGUAAGUCUGAUGUGAAAGCCCGGGGCUCAACCCCGGGACUGCAUUGGAAACUAUGUAACUAGAGUGUCGGAGAGGUAAGCGGAAUUCCUAGUGUAGCGGUGAAAUGCGUAGAUAUUAGGAGGAACACCAGUGGCGAAGGCGGCUUACUGGACGAUCACUGACGUUGAGGCUCGAAAGCGUGGGGAGCAAACAGGAUUAGAUACCCUGGUAGUCCACGCCGUAAACGAUGACUACUAGGUGUCGGG